UACGGAGGGUGCAAGCGUUAUCCGGAUUCACUGGGUUUAAAGGGUGCGUAGGUGGGUCUGUAAGUCAGUGGUGAAAUCUCCGGGCUUAACCCGGAAACUGCCAUUGAUACUAUAGGUCUUGAAUUAUCUGGAGGUAAGCGGAAUAUGUCAUGUAGCGGUGAAAUGCUUAGAUAUGACAUAGAACACCAAUUGCGAAGGCAGCUGGCUACAGGGAUAUUGACACUGAGGCACGAAAGCGUGGGGAUCAAACAGG
rnacentral:rRNA from 1 species